rnacentral:rRNA from 1 species
CACGUAGGGCGCAAGCGUUGUCCGGAAUUAUUGGGCGUAAAGAGCUCGUAGGCGGUUUGUCGCGUCUGCUGUGAAAACUCGGGGCUCAACUCCGAGCUUGCAGUGGGUACGGGCAGACUAGAGUGCGGUAGGGGAGACUGGAAUUCCUGGUGUAGCGGUGAAAUGCGCAGAUAUCAGGAAGAACACCGACGGCGAAGGCGGCUCACUGGCCCGGUAGCUGACGCUGAGGCGCGAAAGCGUGGGAGCAAACAGG